UGCUGGAGGUAUCAGAAGUGCGAAUGCUGACAUAAGUAACGAUAAAGCGGGUGAAAAGCCCGCUCGCCGGAAGACCAAGGGUUCCUGUCCAACGUUAAUCGGGGCAGGGUGAGUCGACCCCUAAGGCGAGGCCGAAAGGCGUAGUCGAUGGGAAACGGGUUAAUAUUCCCGUACUUGGUGUUACUGCGAAGGGGGGACGGAGAAGGCUAUGUUGGCCGGGCGACGGUUGUCCCGGUUUAAGCGUGUAGGUGUGUGUUCCAGGUAAAUCCGGAACACUGAGGCGUGACGACGAGGCACUACGGUGCUGAAGCAACAAAUGCCCUGCUUCCAGGAAAAGCCUCUAAGCAUCAGGUAACACGAAAUCGUACCCCAAACCGACACAGGUGGUCAGGUAGAGAAUACCAAGGCGCUUGAGAGAACUCGGGUGAAGGAACUAGGCAAAAUGGUGCCGUAACUUCGGGAGAAGGCACGCUGACA
rnacentral:rRNA from 1 species